GUACUUGCACUAGCAGCACAUACAGUAAAAUUAGAAUGAUACAGAGAAAAACUAGUAUUGCCCCUGUAUAAAAAUGGCAAAACACACACACACACACACACACACACACACACACACGCACGCACGCACGCACAUUUAUGAGGCAUUCCAUACUUUA
rnacentral:snRNA from 1 species